rnacentral:rRNA from 1 species
UACGUAGGGGGCAAGCGUUAUCCGGAAUCAUUGGGCGUAAAGAGCGUGUAGGCGGCUCGAUAAGUCUGCUGUGAAAGUCCAGGACUCAACCCUGGAAGGCCGGUGGAAACUGUCGGGCUAGAGUCCGGAAGAGGCGAGUGGAAUUCCUGGUGUAGCGGUGAAAUGCGCAGAUAUCAGGAGGAACACCCAUUGCGAAGGCAGCUCGCUGGGACGUUACUGACGCUGAGACGCGAAAGCGUGGGGAGCAAACAGG